UUCAGAAUUAAAGAAGGUAACAGUAUACACUGAAUUCAAACGCAGCAGUUUAUAGAGAGAGAGAGAGAGACAAGCAUACGCUCAGCUGAGAAAAAAGUUUAUCAUCUUAGAGAAUUAAAGAAGGUAACAGUAUACACUGAAUUCAAACGCAGCAGUUUAUAUAUAGAGAGAGAGAGAGACAAGCAUACGCUCAGCUGAGAAAAAAGUUCAUCAUCUUAGAGGAACUGUCCACAUGUAGCCAAGUCUUUUUGCGAGAAGGACCAAGAAUCUUAAUGGCACUUCAGUCACCUUACACUGGACCCCAUGAGGUGGUGGACAGAGACGAUAAAACCUUCACAUUAGGAUUAAUGGUAAAACCACUAAGGUUUCCAUUGACCGGGUGAAGCCAGCAUACAUCCUUCAAGACGACUCACCUCAGCCUUCCCACCCUGUUCCAGGAAAAAAAGUGAGCUUCAAGAUUUCGGAUGGCCAAAUCGUCUGCCUCGGGGUUAAAUGUGGCUAAUCAUCUGAUUGCCACCUGUGAUGUUUUCAACUAGCAUAGUUUGUUUAUUACUUGUAACAGUUUUAUCUUUCAUAUUUAUCAAUAGUUCAAUUUGUCAUUCAACAUUAAAAUCAAUUCACCAUUCAUUUAGUUCCAUUUAAUCAAUUUCAACAUAGGAAUCAUCAAUUCAAAUU